rnacentral:rRNA from 1 species
ACGGGAGGCAGCAGUGAGGAAUAUUGGUCAAUGGACGAGAGUCUGAACCAGCCAAGUAGCGUGCAGGAUGACGGCCCUAUGGGUUGUAAACUGCUUUUGUACGGGAAUAAAGUGACCUACGUGUAGGUUUUUGCAUGUACCGUAAGAAUAAGGACCGGCUAAUUCCGUGCCAGCAGCCGCGGUAAUACGGAAGGUCCGGGCGUUAUCCGGAUUUAUUGGGUUUAAAGGGAGCGUAGGCCGUGCUUUAAGCGUGUUGUGAAAUGUAGGCGCCCAACGUCUGCACUGCAGCGCGAACUGGAGCACUUGAGUGCGUAAGAGGCAGGCGGAAUUCGUCGUGUAGCGGUGAAAUGCUUAGAUAUGACGAAGAACUCCGAUUGCGAAGGCAGCUUGCUGGGCCGCAACUGACGCUGAAGCUCGAAGGUGCGGGUAUCGAACAGGAUUAGAUACCCUGGUA